UGGGGAAUUUUGCACAAUGGGGGAAACCCUGAUGCAGCGACGCCGCGUGAUUUAGAAGGCCUUCGGGUUGUAAAAAUCUUUUCUAUGGGAAGAAAAUGACAGUACCAUAGGAAUAAGGACCGGCUAAUUACGUGCCAGCAGCCGCGGUAAUACGUAAGGUCCGAGCGUUGUCCGGAAUCAUUGGGCGUAAAGGGUACGUAGGCGGGUAAGCAAGUUAGAAGUGAAAUCCUAUAGCUCAACUAUAGUAAGCUUUUAAAACUGCUCAUCUUGAGGUAUGGAAGGGAAAGUGGAAUUCCUAGUGUAGCGGUGAGAUGCGCAGAUAUUAGGAGGAAUACCGGUGGCGAAGGCGACUUGCUGGCCAUAACCUGACGCUGAGGUACGAAAGCGUGGGUAGCAAACAGG
rnacentral:rRNA from 1 species